GUAGACUAGAUUUCUGGGCACGGCGAAGGUGACUCGAGAAGCUGCACGAGGGCCGUGGCGUGACCUGUCCCGGGGAGCAAGGGACGAUCAAAAGAUAGAUCAAGGUUAGAGGUCUUCACACUAACAGGAGCUGGGGCUCCUAACGGAGUCUGCGCCCCUCCCGCUCGCUCUGCCACAGGAUCUCGCUGACUCAUUCCUUCCCCAGCUGCAGCCUCCCGCAUCCUUUGUGCUCCGGAGUGAAUCAUGAUUCCACAUGACUCAUCACUUCAGAGAGAAAGCCUGAAUGGUGUGAUUCGAGGAACGCUGACUCACUGAGAAUCUGACAGAAGAGCUCUGCUCCAGUCUACAGCCAACAACACCCAGUGUGUGUGGGCGUGGCACAGACAGGAAAUGGAGAGCUCCCUAACUCUGCACAACUCUGUUACAAAGAGAAAACAGCAACCAGAGCCUCUUGGUGGAGGUGCAGGGACUGUGCAGAGAGAUCCCAAAUGCUUUAGGAGUUUAAUCUUCAAAGCCGAUGCAAACCCAAGAACACUGCUCUCCUGUGGCUGCCUUUGUCUCUAGCUACUAUUUAUUGCUAGGACAACAAAAAUAAACUGACUGUAAGCCAAGGCAGCACAGGCUGUCCCUACCACUUGCA
rnacentral:lncRNA from 1 species